GACGAAGGAUGCAAGCGUUAUCCGGAUUCAUUGGGUUUAAAGGGAGCGUAGGUGGUCUUAUAAGUCAGUGGUGAAAUCUCUGGGCUUAACCCAGAAAUUGCCAUUGAUACUGUAGGACUUGAGUAUAGUUGCCGUUGGCGGAAUAUGACAUGUAGUGGUGGAAUACAUAGAGAUGUCAUAGAACACCGAUUGCGAAGGCAGCUAACGAAACUAUAACUGACACUGAGGCUCGAAAGUGCGGGGAUCAAACAGG
rnacentral:rRNA from 1 species